rnacentral:rRNA from 1 species
UACGUAGGUCCCGAGCGUUAUCCGGAUUUAUUGGGCGUAAAGCGAGCGCAGGCGGUUGGAUAAGUCUGAAGUUAAAGGCUGUGGCUUAACCAUAGUAUGCUUUGGAAACUGUUCAACUUGAGUGCAGAAGGGGAGAGUGGAAUUCCAUGUGUAGCGGUGGAAUGUGUAGAUAUAUGGAGGAACACCGGUGGCGAAAGCGGCUCUCUGGUCUGUAACUGACGCCGAGGCUCGAAAGCGUGGGUAUCAAACAGG